rnacentral:tRNA from 1 species
GCCGAAAUAGCUCAGCUGGUAGAGCAACUGAUUUGUAAUCAGUAGGUCCCGGGUUCGACUCCUGGUUUCGGCA